CUACGGAGGGUGCAAGCGUUGUUCGGAAUCACUGGGCGUAAAGGGCGCGCAGGCGGUUUGAUUAGUCAGAUGUGAAAGCCCACGGCUUAACCGUGGAAGUGCAUUUGAAACUGUCAGACUUGAGUAUCAGAGGGGAAAGUGGAAUUCCCGGUGUAGAGGUGAAAUUCGUAGAUAUCGGGAGGAAUACCGGUGGCGAAGGCGACUUUCUGGCUGAAUACUGACGCUGAGGCGCGAAAGCGUGGGGAGCAAACAGGAUUAGAAACCCGGGUAGUCC
rnacentral:rRNA from 1 species